CAGGAGUGAAGCUGCUGUGUGAUUUUCUGGAGAGUCCACACUGCAGACUGAAGACUCUUGGAUUGAAGAACUGCAGGUUGUCAGCGAUCAGCUGUGCUUCUCUGGCCUCAGCUCUGAAGUCCAACCCCUCCCAUCUGACAGAGCUGGACCUGGGAGAAAACUACCUGAAGGAUUCAGCAGUGAAGCCUCUGUCUGAUCUUGUGGAGAGUCCACACUGCAGUCUGCAGACUCUGAGGU